rnacentral:rRNA from 1 species
UACGGAGGGGGCGAGCGUUGUUCGGAAUUACUGGGCGUAAAGCGCGCGUAGGCGGACCACCAAGUCAGGGGUGAAAUCCCGGAGCUUAACUCCGGAACUGCCCUUGAGACUGGUGAUCUAGAGUUCGGGAGAGGUAAGUGGAAUUCCUAGUGUAGAGGUGAAAUUCGUAGAUAUUAGGAAGAACACCAGUGGCGAAGGCGGCUUACUGGACCGAUACUGACGCUGAGGUGCGAAAGCGUGGGGAGCAAACAGG